UACGGGGGGGGCAAGCGUUGUUCGGAAUUACUGGGCGUAAAGGGCUCGUAGGCGGCCAACUAAGUCGGAUGUGAAAUCCCCAGGCUCAACCUGGGAACUGCAUCCGAUACUGGAUGGCUUGAAUUCGGGAGAGGGAUGCAGAAUUCCAGGUGUAGCGGUGAAAUGCGUAGAUAUCUGGAGGAACACCGGUGGCGAAAGCGGCUCACUGGAUCUCUUCUGACGCUGAGGCACGAAAGCUAGGGUAGCGAACGGG
rnacentral:rRNA from 1 species